CUGAUGAAAGCACGGCGACCUUUCAGAACAGAUUUCCUUCUACAGAAAGGUGACAUAAUACUGCUUGGAUUCUGUAAAAUGGAUUGGAUUUUCAGGUGCAGUUGCCAAUUGAUCUGUCAUAUUGUGGUUUUCAAAGAUGAACUGAGAAUGCUGUGAAAGGAGCUUGCUGUUGAAGAGCUGCCGAAAGACCUGGAGUAGGGACUUACAUUUUCAGCGUGGCUAACUUUCACUGACAUUGAAGAUGUCUCACUCAGAAGAUCAUCAAACCCAUGUUUUCUCUUCCUCUUCAGCAGACAAAGCUUCAUUCAUUUGAUGUGGAGAAGCUGAAGAAACUAAUUUUCUUCUUGAAAUAAGUGUGAAUUCUUUUUAUCUAGUGAUUUAACAACUCCUGACAAUGCUUACAUUUCACUUCAGAAAAAUUAGCUGUUUUCCUAAGUUCAGUCUUUCACUAAGUCUUUUAGUAUUCCCUUUCUCAACUCAGGCUAAUAUAGAAAGAAGUUAUGUAAUAGCUUCUUCAAAAUGACCUAUCAGUUGUACUAAUAAAAAAAAAACUUUCACAUUUACUACAAUUAGCAUUAAAAAAAAAAAAAACAAAUUUUUU
rnacentral:lncRNA from 1 species